CCCAGCUCAAACUAUCUGAAGUGUCUCAUGAGAGCUAAUUAUAUAAAUCUUCAAUACAGUCAUUCUGAUGCACAGAUUUGCUUCCUGCCAUUACAUGACAAAGCGCAGUCAGGAUGACGAACCAAAUCUUGCAUUAAGGCGUUUUUAUGGGGAAAAGGCAAGCAGAGACAUUAUUCACCAGGAGGGCACUUUGUAAAGUCAAAACAAUGGCGUCUGGUCCAUCUAAUUUUCCAGAGGUUCCCAUGGAUCUAAGGUCACUUGGAAGAAUUUCCUGGCACUUAAAAGGGUCUACUUCGGCAACUUAUUUAA